UACGUAGGGUGCAAGCGUUGUCCGGAAUUAUUGGGCGUAAAGAGCUCGUAGGCGGUUUGUUGCGUCGGCUGUGAAAUCCCGAGGCUCAACCUCGGGUCUGCAGUCGAUACGGGCAGACUUGAGUGCUGUAGGGGAGACUGGAAUUCCUGGUGUAGCGGUGAAAUGCGCAGAUAUCAGGAGGAACACCGGUGGCGAAGGCGGGUCUCUGGGCAGUAACUGACGCUGAGGAGCGAAAGCGUGGGGAGCGAACAGG
rnacentral:rRNA from 1 species